rnacentral:rRNA from 1 species
GAUGAACGCUAGCGGCAGGCCUAAUACAUGCAAGUCGAGGGGCAGCGGGAAUAGCAAUAUUUGCCGGCGACCGGCGCACGGGUGCGUAACACGUAUACAAUCUGCCCAUAUCAGGGGGAUAGCCCGGAGAAAUCCGGAUUAAUACCCCAUAAUACAAGGAACGGCAUCGUUUUUUGUUGAAAGCUACGGCGGAUAUGGAUGAGUAUGCGACUGAUUAGUUAGUUGGCGAGGUAACGGCUCACCAAGACCACGAUCAGUAGGGGAUCUGAG